rnacentral:piRNA from 1 species
UACAUCUUUCCUGUAGGCUAUGUGAUGC